CGGACGGACAGCGCAGCCCCAGAGCCAGAGCCAGAGCGGCGUUCAGCGUGCACCGUGCAAGCUUGAAGCUCCCCCCACCCACCCCCUUGCUUUGGCUGACACACGGACAGACGACGAUGACUCACCGCCCCCUGGCUUUACCCUACAGUCAGUGACGCCAGAGAGCCGUUGGCGUCCGGACACGGCGGGCUCCUCCCCCCAAAGCCCAAAGGGGCAAAGUCACUGCACGGCCGCAGUCGGCCACGCGACGGUGCGUGUGUGGUCGGUGACAAGUGAAGCGGCGCUUCAGCCUGUGGUCGGUGCUUUCGUCCAUAAAAAGUGGGGAGGACGGCUCGGGGAGCUUGACGACACUGCACACCUCUCACCAGUCCCCACACGGCCACACCACACCCAGCUGUCCCCAUCGCGCGCACACUCUCUCGGUCUCUCCCUCCCAGUCCCAGCGUUUGCGGUCCAGUCCAGAGAGCUCGAGCAGCCAUGGCGGCUCCCCUGUUCCUCCUCCUCCUGCUGCUGGCUAUGUUCACAGGCUCAGCAGACGCGGCGUUCUGCGUGUGCAAGACGGGCGUGCCCGACCAGGCGAUGCAGGCGGCGAUCGACUACGCCUGCGCCAAGGGGGCCGACUGCGCCUCCGCCUCCAAGGGCGCGCCCUGCUACGGCAACGGCAACAAGGUGGCCGUCUGCUCCUACAUCUGCAACAGCUACUACCAGAGCCGCAGCGCCACGGGCGCCACCUGCGACUUCAACGGCGUCGCCACGCUCACCGGCACCGACCCCAGCUCCGGCACCUGCAAGUUCGCCUCCGGCCCCAGCGCAGGCACCGGCGGUGGCAUGGGCGCUGGCGCGGGUACCGGCGGUGGCAUGGGCGCUGGCACCGGCGCCGGGACAGGCGUUGGCACCGGAGCAGGCACGGGCAUGGGCACCGGGACGGGGACCAGCACCGGCACCGGCGCCGGCGCAGGGGUCGCGACCCCCGGGAGCGCCCUGAGCCCACCGUUCGGCGGCACUGGCGCGUACGGCCCGUCAGGGGCAGGCAGCACGGACUACAACGACGCCGUCGCCCCGCGCGCCGCCGGGCUGCACGUGGUGGCUGCCCUCGCUCUCGCCGUCGCCGUCGCCGCACCUCUCCACCGCUAGGGGCGGUGCCAUGGCAACUGGGAGCUGGCGGGCACGACACUCGCAGACGGGAUCCCGCCUCGGCGGCCCGCCAGCGCGGGCUCUGGUCGAUGUCCGGCGUUAGUGCGUGCGCGUACCUGAUGAAGUGAUGAUGGGUUUUGAUCGACCAGCCGUCAGCGUAGUGCGGUCACGGGGUUUACAGUGUUAUUCGAACUGACCUCUCUGCUUCCUCGUGCUAGUAGUGGUGGCUGCCAUGUGUGUGUGCUGCUGGUAGAGAACUAGGGAUUCUUUUUUUUUCUUCUGUCGCUUCCUUGCUUAUAUGUCCCGUCGUGUUAGGCUGUGUUUACUAUGCAGUGUUUGGUGGUGGCCGCUUUCCAUGAGAAUAUUUGGUGUGCGCGCUCAUGUUGCACUGCACGUUUGGCCAGGCAGGUCGAUAC
rnacentral:misc_RNA from 1 species